AGACCCCCACCUCCAACUGAUUGAUUGUGCAUAGGAAGCUGGCAGCACUCAGAGCCCUGCUACGGGAGGAAGGUGGGAUUGGUCUUCACUAUGUGGCUCCAGUCAUAGCCCAACAAGAAAGGUUUCAGCAGAGAUUUCAGCACAGACAUUAAGGGAGAGGGCGCAGAAAGCAAGUAUGCACACCAGCACACUGACGGGGCUUCCUGAGAGAUGCUCACCAGGACCAGCUUCGUAAAGAAAUCUCAGCGUUCCAAAUUCCCUUUAAAAAACAUAUUUAUUCCAUUAUACAGGGUUGUGUAAGAUAUUUCC
rnacentral:lncRNA from 1 species